AUGGAUUCGGUGUGUAACUCGUGGAUCUUGCUUUUCCCCACCAUCUUCCCCUUGAAAUCCAUCCAAAAUCCACGGAAUCGCCGAAUUUCUUGCCGUUUUCGAGUUCUUCCCGAGCAGUUCCCGACCGAGAUUGACCUGCCCGGAUCAUCCGGACCUCGACCCGGAUCAUUCGGCUCCUGGUCCGGAUCAUCCGGCUUCCUCUGCCGAAACUGCAGUUUUGCAGUCCUCCUCCACCACCCCAACCACCACCACUUCCACCUGCCAAACCCCAUCAUCCCCAUGGACUCUACAGCAACACAUCCAACCCCUCAAGGACCCAUGACUCGAGCACGUGCAAGAGCUCUUGAAAUCGAGGUGACAUCACUCCUCUCACAAUUCCCUUUUGAUUCACAUGAGACAUGGUUACUACCUCAAACGGAAACGCUAUGCAUACUCAGGUACCAAGGAGUUCACCGUGAAGAAGCUAGGAAGCAAGGAGAACCGGAAGCGGAAGACAUGCAUGAAGACGGAGAGGAAAAAGCACCAAGGACCAGGGUGGCCGGACGAUCCGGACGGCGGCCCGGACGAUCCGGACGGCGGCCCGGACGAUCCGGACAGAGCCCGGACGAUCCGGACCCCGGCCCGAACGAUCCGGCUAAAUCGACCGAAGACUACAAAAGCCUCCCCCCUGAAGCCGGAUCAUCCGGACCCCGUCCCGGAUCAUCCGGACCCUGCCCGGACGUUCGGACCGCCAGCCGGACAUCCGGCCCUGCGCCUCCACCAGCCGAGUCUCUGGAUCAUCCGGGCCUCCACCCGGAUCAUCCGGACCAGCCCGGAUCAUCCGGCUCCGGACCCAGAUCAUCCGGCCAGCGCCUGUGUGCGUGUGUUGGGCUGAGCCCAUGUACCCCUUCGCCCCUAGCCUAUAAAUAG
rnacentral:rRNA from 1 species